rnacentral:rRNA from 1 species
UGGGGAAUAUUGGACAAUGGGCGCAAGCCUGAUCCAGCCAUGCCGCGUGAAUGAUGAAGGCCUUCGGGUUGUAAAGUUCUUUUAGUGGGGAAAAUAAUGAUGGUACCUACAGAAAAAGCCCCGGCUAACUUCGUGCCAGCAGCCGCGGUAAUACGAAGGGGGCUAGCGUUGUUCGGAAUUACUGAGCGUAAAGCGUUUGUAGGCGGUUAUACAAGUCAGUGGUGAAAGCCCAGGGCUCAACCCUGGAAUUGCCAUUGAAACUGUAUAGCUAGAGAGUGUUAGAGGUUAGUGGAAUUCCUAGUGUAGGAGUGAAAUCCGUAGAGAUUAGGAGGAAUAUCGAUGGCGAAGGCAGCUAACUGGAGCAUUUCUGACGCUGAGAAACGAAAGCGUGGGUAGCAAACAG